CUUCUGUUGUUGAGUAUGACUCCUGUGGCCUGGCCGGGGGUUCAGGCUGCAGACCCAGAGCUUCUGCUUGUGCAUAACUGGGACCCCCAGGCGUGGGGGUCCUUUCAACUGCCAGCGACAAGG
ensembl:snoRNA